UACAGAGGUCUCAAGCGUUGUUCGGAAUUACUGGGCGUAAAGGGUGCGUAGGCCGCACGGUAAGUCAGAUGUGAAAUCUCAGGGCUCAACUCUGAAAUUGCAUCCGAUACUGCCGUGCUUGAGGACUGGAGAGGAGUCUGGAAUUCAUGGUGGAGCAGUGAAAUGCGUAGAUAUCAUGAGGAACGCUAGUGGCGUAGGCGAGACUCUGGACAGUUCUGACGCUGAGGCACGAAGGCCAGGGGAGCAAACGGG
rnacentral:rRNA from 1 species